CCUACGGGGGGCAGCAGUGGGGAAUAUUGGACAAUGGGGGGAACCCUGAUCCAGCCAUGCCGCGUGUGUGAAGAAGGCCCUCGGGUUGUAAAGCACUUUCAGUGAGGAAGAACGCCUGGUGGUUAAUACCCAUCAGGAAAGACAUCACUCACAUAAGAAGCACCGGCUAACUCCGUGCCAGCAGCCGCGGUAAUACGGAGGGUGCGAGCGUUAAUCGGAAUUACUGGGCGUAAAGCGCGCGUAGGUGGCUUGAUAAGCCGGUUGUGAAAGCCCCGGGCUCAACCUGGGAACGGCAUCCGGAACUGUCAAGCUAGAGUGCAGGAGAGGAAGGUAGAAUUCCCGGUGUAGCGGUGAAAUGCGUAGAGAUCGGGAGGAAUACCAGUGGCGAAGGCGGCCUUCUGGACUGACACUGACACUGAGGUGCGAAAGCGUGGGUAGCAAACAGGAUUAGAUACCCUUGUAGUC
rnacentral:rRNA from 1 species